GUUGGAGGGUUUCCGCCCUUCAGUGCUGCAGCUAACGCAUUAAGCACUCCGCCUGGGGAGUACGACCGCAAGGUUGAAACUCAAAGGAAUUGACGGGGGCCCGCACAAGCGGUGGAGCAUGUGGUUUAAUUCGAUGCUACGCGAAGAACCUUACCAGGUCUUGACAUCUUCUGCCAACCUAAGAGAUUAGGCGUUCCCUUCGGGGACAGAAUGACAGGUGGUGCAUGGUUGUCGUCAGCUCGUGUCGUGAGAUGUUGGGUUAAGUCCCGCAACGAGCGCAACCCUUAUUGUUAGUUGCCAGCAUUCAGUUGGGCACUCUAGCAAGACUGCCGGUGACAAACCGGAGGAAGGUGGGGAUGACGUCAAAUCAUCAUGCCCCUUAUGACCUGGGCUACACACGUGCUACAAUGGACGGUACAACGAGUCGCGAAACCGCGAGGUCAAGCUAAUCUCUUAAAGCCGUUCUCAGUUCGGAUUGUAGGCUGCAACUCGCCUACAUGAAGUUGGAAUCGCUAGUAAUCGUGGAUCAGCAUGCCACGGUGAAUACGUUCCCGGGCCUUGUACACACCGCCCGUCACACCAUGAGAGUUUGUAACACCC
rnacentral:rRNA from 1 species